CUGCCUUUGAAAGAAGACGACCCU
rnacentral:piRNA from 1 species